rnacentral:misc_RNA from 1 species
ACAAGAAAAACUAUUGAAAGAGCAUUUGGCCGGAAGCUUUCUGAGAUUUUUGAGGGUUUUGAAGAGGUGCCUGUUGCAUCUGGAAGUAUUGCUCAAGUGCAUCGAGCCUCUUUGAGGUUUCGGUACCCUGGUCAAAAACUGGCAAAGCCUACAAUAGUUGCUGUGAAAGUCAGGCAUCCUGGCGUUGGUGAAUCAAUUAGGAGAGAUUUUGA